rnacentral:rRNA from 1 species
UACGUAGGGAGCGAGCGUUGUCCGGAAUUACUGGGCGUAAAGGGCGCGUAGGCGGGUUGGUAAGUUGUAUGUGAAAUCCCCGGGCUCAACCCGGGACGUGCAUACAAAACUGCCGAUCUUGAGUGCGGUAGAGGGAAGUGGAAUUCCUAGUGUAGCGGUAAAAUGCAUAGAUAUUAGGAGGAACACCGGUGGCGAAGGCGACUUCCUGGGCCGUAACUGACGCUGAGGCGCGAAAGCGUGGGGAG